rnacentral:miRNA from 1 species
ACCCCGCACAACACUAACCCAAA